CCCAUGGGCAGCCUCACCGGUCCUGGUCCGGUCCCCUGAGCCCUCUCUGAGUUCUCACCUCCUCUUCCCAGACCAGGGCAGCCCCUUUGCCCAGGAGCUGCUGGACGACGGUCAGCAAGCCAGCCCCUACCACCCUGGCAGCUGUGGUGCAGGAGCCCCCUCCCCCGGCAGCUCUGAUGUCUCCACCGCAGGUACAGGCUGGGAAGUGUGUCCUGAGAGCCAGCAGCGUGGUUUAGCAGAGGGUGGGCCGGCAGGGGACUUACUCUGACCCCACCCCCCAGGGACUGGUGCUUCUCGGAGCUCCCACUCCUCAGACUCCGGUGGAAGUGA
rnacentral:sRNA from 1 species